rnacentral:rRNA from 1 species
GACGAACGCUGGCGGCGUGCUUAACACAUGCAAGUCGAACGGAAAGGCCCUGCUUUUGUGGGGUGCUCGAGUGGCGAACGGGUGGGUAACACGUGAGUAACCUGCCCUUGACUUUGGGAUAACUUCAGGAAACUGGGGCUAAUACCGGAUAGGAGCUCCUGCUGCAUGGUGGGGGUUGGAAAGUUUCGGCGGUUGGGGAUGGACUCGCGGCUUAUCAGCUUGUUGGUGGGGUAGUGGCUUACCAAGGCUUUGACGGGUAGCCGGCCUGAGAGGGUGGCCGGCCACAUUGGGACUGAGAUACGGCCCAGACUCCUACGGGAGGCAGCAGUGGGGAAUAUUGCACAAUGGGCGGAAGCCUGAUGCAGCAACGCCGCGUGCGGGAUGACGGCCUUCGGGUUGUAAACCGCUUUCGCCUGUGACGAAGCGUGAGUGACGGUAAUGGGUAAAGAAGCACCGGCUAACUACGUG